rnacentral:lncRNA from 1 species
UCCCAUUACAGAUGGUUGUGAGUCGACAUGUGGUUGCUGAGAAUUGAACUCAGGACGUCUGGAAGAGCAGUCAGUGCUCUUAGCUGCUGAGUCAUCUCUCCAGCCCUCAUUUAUUCUUUUAUUCUUUGAGUGUGCACAUGGUGUGGCUUCUCCGUGAAGGUCAGAGGCCAGCUUGCGGGCGGGUGGUGACUCUCUCCUUCAGACGCAUA